rnacentral:SRP_RNA from 1 species
UUGUGCUAGGCGGGGAGCUAGCGGUGCCCUAUUCCCGAAAUCCGCUCAUGCGGGGCUGAAUCCCCUCUGAAGGAUCUUAAACAUGGAAAGCGUAGCGCAUUUUGAUCGGGCGCCACGCAACAAACGGUCACGAACCUCGUCAGGUCCGGAAGGAAGCAGCGAUAAGUGACGCAGUUUGUGUCGUGGACCGACUCCGGUCAUCUGGAUGCCUUACCAAUUCCAUCAAGAUUCGACAGCGGGUGCACAA